AUUGAACGCUGGCGGCAGGCCUAACACAUGCAAGUCGAGCGGAUGAAGGGAGCUUGCUCCUGGAUUCAGCGGCGGACGGGUGAGUAAUGCCUAGGAAUCUGCCUGGUAGUGGGGGAUAACGUCCGGAAACGGGCGCUAAUACCGCAUACGUCCUGAGGGAGAAAGUGGGGGAUCUUCGGACCUCACGCUAUCAGAUGAGCCUAGGUCGGAUUAGCUAGUUGGUGGGGUAAAGGCCUACCAAGGCGACGAUCCGUAACUGGUCUGAGAGGAUGAUCAGUCACACUGGAACUGAGACACGGUCCAGGCUCCUACGGGAGGCAGCAGUGGGGAAUAUUAGACAAUGGGCGAAAGCCUGGUCCAGCCAUGCCGCGUGUGUGAAGAAGGUCUUCGGAUUGUAAAGCACGUUAAGUUGGGAGGAAGGGCAGUAAGUUAAGACCUUGCUGUUUUGACGUUAACAACAGAAUAAGCACCGGCUAACUUCGUG
rnacentral:rRNA from 1 species